GACGAACGCUGGCGGCGUGCUUAACACAUGCAAGUCGAACGGAAAGGCCCUGCUUUUGUGGGGUGCUCGAGUGGCGAACGGGUGAGUAACACGUGAGUAACCUGCCCUUGACUUUGGGAUAACUUCAGGAAACUGGGGCUAAUACCGGAUAGGAGCUCCUGCUGCAUGGUGGGGGUUGGAAAGUUUCGGCGGUUGGGGAUGGACUCGCGGCUUAUCAGCUUGUUGGUGGGGUAGUGGCUUACCAAGGCUUUGACGGGUAGCCGGCCUGAGAGGGUGACCGGCCACAUUGGGACUGAGAUACGGCCCAGACUCCUACGGGAGGCAGCAGUGGGGAAUAGUGCACAAUGGGCGGAAGCCUGAUGCAGCAACGCCGCGUGCGGGAUGACGGCAUGCGGGUUGUAAACCGAUUUCGCCUGUGACGAAGCGUGAGUGACGGUAAUGGGUAAAGAAGCACCGGCUAACUACGUG
rnacentral:rRNA from 1 species